rnacentral:tRNA from 1 species
GCCCACAUAGCUCAGUUGGUAGAGCGCAUCCUUGGUAAGGAUGAGGUCACCGGUUCGACUCCGGUUGUGGGCUCCA